rnacentral:rRNA from 1 species
UACGGAGGGGGCAAGCGUUGUUCGGAAUCACUGGGUGUAAAGGGUGCGUAGGCGGUCCGUUAAGUCUGAUGUGAAAGCCCUGGGCUCAACUCAGGAAUUGCAUUGGAAACUGGCGGGCUGGAGUACGGGAGAGGGAAGCGGAAUUCCUGGUGUAGCGGUGAAAUGCGUAGGAAUACCAGGAGGAACACCGGUGGCGAAGGCGGUUCUCUGGGCCGUGUACUGACGCUGGAGGAGCGAAAGCGUGGGGAGCGAACAGGAUUAGAU